rnacentral:rRNA from 1 species
AAUGAACGUUGGCGGCGUGGAUUAGGCAUGCAAGUCGAGCGAGAACCUUCAGCAAUGGAGGGGAAAGCGGCGAAAGGGAGAGUAACGCGUGGAUCAUCUACCCUCGGGACUGGGAUAGUCCGCCGAAAGGCGGAGUAAUACCGGAUGACGUCCCCGGACCAAAAGGUGUACUUCGGUACGUCCGCCUGAGGAUGAGUCCGCGUCCUAUCAGCUUGUUGGCGGGGUAACGGCCCACCAAGGCGACGACGGGACUGGGUGUGAGAGCACGACCCAGCUCACUGGGACUGAGACACUGCCCAGACACCUACGGGUGGCUGCAGUCGAGGAUCUUCGGCAAUGGGCGCAAGCCUGACCGAGCGACGCCGCGUGCGGGAUGAAGGCC